rnacentral:rRNA from 1 species
AAGAGGUAUCGUAAACGAAGAGAGUUGGAAAGCUCCGCUAUAAAGUGUAAUAGCCACGUAGUUGAAACGAGAAGACUUUAGAUGUGAUCCAGAGUACCACGGGACACGUGAAACCCUGUGGGAAGCAGGAGGGACCAUCCUCCAAGGCUAAAUACUACUUAGUGACCGAUAGCGCAUAGUACCGUGAGGGAAAGGUGAAAAGAACCCCGGGAGGGGAGUGAAAUAGAACCUGAAACCCUGCGCUUACAAGCUGUGGAAGCACUUUAUAUGUGUGACCGCGUACUUUUUGUAGAACGGGCCAACGAGUUACGAUAGUAAGCUAGGUUAAGUACUUAAGGUAUGGAGCCGUAGUGAAAGCGAGUCUUAAAUGGGCGUUAAGUUUGCUGUCGUAGACCCGAAACCGAGCGACCUAUCCAUGAGCAGGAUGAAGCGAAAGUAAAAUUUCGUGGAGGUCCGAACCCACGAGCGUUGAAAAGCUCGGGGAUGACUUGUGGAUAGCGGUGAAAUUCCAAUCGAGCUCGGAGAUAGCUGGUUCUCCCCGAAAUAGCUUUAGGGCUAGCCUCAAGGUUGAGAAAUACGGAGGUAGAGCACUGAAUAUCCUAGGGGGCAUUGCGCUUACCGAAGAUUAUCAAACUCCGAAUGCCGUUAUUUUAUACUUGGGAGUCAGACUGUGGGUAAUAAGAUUCAUAGUCGAGAGGGCAACAGCCCAGAUCGUCAGCUAAGGUCCCUAAAUGUAAGUUAAGUGGUAAAGGAUGUGGGAUUGCAUAGACAACCAGGAUGUUGGCUUAGAAGCAGCCACUCAUUUAAAGAGUGCGUAAUAGCUCACUGGUCGAGUGAUCCUGCGCCGAAGAUUACCGGGGCUAAAACUUACUACCGAAGCUACGAUAUCAUUUAUGAUAGGUAGGGGAGCUUCCUAUGCAGGCUGAAGCAUGACCGUAAGGACGUGUGGACAGUAUAGGAGUGAGAAUGUUGGCAUGAGUAGCGAGACGUGGGUGAGAAUCCCACGGGCCGUAAACCCAAGGUUUCCAGGGGAAGGUUCGUCCGCCCUGGGUUAGUCGGGACCUAAGCCGAGGCCGAAAGGCGUAGGUGAUGGACAACAGGUUGAGAUUCCUGUACCACCGAUAAUCGUUUGAGAGAUGGAAUGACACAGUAGGAUAAGCUAACCACACUGUUGGUUAUGUGUGGCUAAGUACUGAGGCAGUCAAGGCAGGCAAAUCCGCCAUGAUAAUGCUGGGGUACGAUGGGGAGCGAAAUUAAGUAGCGAAGUAGCUGAUUUCACACUGUCGAGAAAAGUUUCUAUCGAGAUUAAAGGUGCCCGUACCGCAAACCGACACAGGUGGGUGAGGAGAGUAUCCUAAGGCCAGCGAGAGAACUGUUGUUAAGGAACUCGGCAAAAUGACCCCGUAACUUAGGGAGAAGGGGUGCCACGUUAGGGUUAACGCCCGAGGUGGCCGCAGAGAAUAGGCCCAAGCGACUGUUUACCAAAAACACAGGUUUCUGCUAAGUCGCAAGACGAUGUAUAGGAGCUGACGCCUGCCCGGUGCUGGAAGGUUAAGGGGAUCUGUUAGGAUUUAUCCGAAGCAGUGAACUUAAGCCCCAGUAAACGGCGGCCGUAACUAUAACGGUCCUAAGGUAGCGAAAUUCCUUGUCGGGUAAGUUCCGACCCGCACGAAAGGCGUAACGAUUUGGGAUGGAGCUUUACUGUAGCUUGACAUUGAAUUUUGGUGCUACAUGUACAGGAUAGGUGGGAGGCUAUGAAAUCGGGACGCCAGUCUCGGUGGAGCUAUCCUUGGGAUACCACCCUUGUAGUACUGAGAUUCUAACCAGAUACCUUGAAUCAGGUAUUGGGACACUGUCAGGUGGGCAGUUUGACUGGGGCGGUCGCCUCCCAAAGAGUAACGGAGGCGCUCAAAGGUUCUCUCAGCACGGUCGGAAAUCGUGCGUAGAGUGUAAAGGCAGAAGAGAGCUUGAUUGCAAGACAUACAGGUCGAGCAAGGACGAAAGUCGGACUUAGUGAUCCGGUGGUUCCGCAUGGAAGGGCCAUCGCUCAACGGAUAAAAGCUACCCUGGGGAUAACAGGCUUAUCUCCCCCAAGAGUCCACAUCGACCGUCGUGAGACAGUUCGGUCCCUAUCCGUCGCAGGCGUAGGAAAUUUGAGGAGACCUGUCCUUAGUACGAGAGGACCGGGAUGGACGUACCUCUGGUGUACCAGUUGUUCUGCCAAGGGCAUGGCUGGGUAGCUAUGUACGGAAUGGAUAAGCGCUGAAAGCAUCUAAGCGCGAAGCCAACUUCAAGAUAAGAUUUCCCACCGUAAGGGUAAGAUCCCAGGAAGACUACCUGGUUGAUAGGUCGGAGGUGUAAGUGCAGCAAUGUAUGUAGCUUACCGAUACUAAUAGAUCGAGGACUUGACCAA